rnacentral:rRNA from 1 species
GAUGAACGCUGGCGGCGUGCCUAAUACAUGCAAGUCGAGCGAACAGAUGAGGAGCUUGCUCCUCUGACGUUAGCGGCGGACGGGUGAGUCACACGUGGAUAACCUACCUAUAAGACUGGGAUAACUUCGGGAAACCGGAGCUACUACCGGAUAAUAUAUUGAACCGCAUGGUUCAAUAGUGAAAGACGGUUUUGCUGUCACUUAUAGAUGGAUCCGCGCCGCAUUAGCUAGUUGGUAAGGUAACGGCUUACCAAGGCAACGAUGCUUAGCCGACCUGAGAGGGUGAUCGGCCACACGGGAACUGAGACACGUUCCAGACUCCUACGGUAGGCAGCAGUAGGGAAUCUUCCGCAAGGGGCGAAAGCCUGACGGAGCAACGCCGCGUGAGUGAUGAAGGUCUUCGGAUCGUAAAACGCUGUUAGUAGGGAAGAACAAAUGUGUAAGUAACUAUGCACGUCUUGACGGUACCUAAUCAGAAAGCCACGGCUAACUACGUG